rnacentral:lncRNA from 1 species
GAAAACUCCUUGUCCCUUUAUUCAUGAUAUUAAAUGAUUUUCAAUGCAGUUCUUGAAAACGGAGUGUUAUAAUAAUAAUAAAAAAAACAAGUCCAAAUCCCUUUACAUACAGAAGCAAAUGUUUUAGAAUAUUAACAAAGAGCCACCCAUAGAGUUACUCGCGCGGCAUAGAGAGUCAAGCAGCAGCGUACUCGCGCGGUGGAGUUACUUGCACGGGGUUAAUGUCUCUGGCAGCGGUUGGUGAAUUCGCGUGCCCGAGUUACUCGCGCCGUGUGCUCUAGCGGCGAGUUACUCGCGCGGAAUAGUGUCUGGCAGCGGUGUAUUCGCGCGCCCGAGUUACUCGCGCCGUGUGCUCUUGCAGCGUGGUGUGUUUGACGGGAGGUAUACUCUCGCGGCAGAGCUGCUUGCGCGACGCUGUGUGUUUGUCAGGCAGUGCACUCGGUGCGGAGCGUGUCCAGAAAUAAAGGGUCCUCGCGUGACAGUAUUCAUCCGCGGCGGCGGAUUACGACGACGAGCAGGAGACUUCCCUCAGCAUGCGUUUAUGAGUUGUGGUAUCUAAUGGCUUUAAAAAUAGCAUGUCUUUGAAAAUGAAAAGAGAUAGGGACAAAGACCUCUAUUUAAUGGCAGCUUGGGACCACAUGGUUGUCAGCUUUACAUGAUGGUUACAGCUGUAUUUCCUUUAAUUGGGGUGGAUGACAGCUAUUAUAAGCUUUGUCAUUUAGUGUUUAAGAAUUAACUUAAAAUAACAAAACUGAAAGAACUCCCUUUACCGAAGACUAAAUUCAAAGUUAUAAUCACAUAUUCCGUAAGCUCUUCAUCAUCAACGAAUAUUAAAUUAAUAGAGCAUAUGGGAUUUUCAGAUGUGAUGUAAAAGAUUUCGACAAUUUGUUUUCUUUUCUAAGAUCCCUUUGCCAGCCAACAAAACUCUCUCAUGGCUUUUGUAUAUUUUUUUUUUUUUGAAAAAAGUUGCAUCAUAGAGAGUAGAGCAGAUGACUUACUUGAUUUGAUGUGUCAAUGAGGUUGAAACUCGUUAAUAGAGGCAUAGGACUCCCUCUUGAAGUGUGACUGUGCACCCUCAACUAAACAAAAGGCCGAGAAUCUUGUGGGAUCUUGCAAAAAACUUAGAUCUAGAAAAACAAUUCACAGCAAGAUGUGGUGCAGAUUCAGAUUUGUAGGAGAGAACGAGAGAUGUGAUUGUUGUGGAGCGUUUAGAUCAGUGGGCGCCAAUGAAGAAACACGGAAUCACCCCGGGAUGACUGGACCGCGUUCUACAUGAGGGUGAAGAAUCGCACCUUGUUCUUCCUCUUGAACCUAGAUCUGCAAUGGAGAAGAGAAGAAAGUGGAGCUGUAGAGAUUGCCGGUAGGAGAUGACUCUCCUGUUUCCAGCUACAAAAAGUGUGGCGGCUCCAUUUCCUCUGCCCUAUUCAAGAGGUGAAGACCUCUUUAUAUAGGGGGAUAUGGGCCUCCCCUAACCUCAAUGGGCCAGGCCCAGUUAGGGUUAUCUCUACAAGCCCCGACCCAAAGUAGUGUAAACUACAACGCGUUGGGCCUCGCGGUUGGGUUAGUAGC